GGCUUACCUGUAUUUGAGUCCCUGCUACAUGAUAGAUAUAUCAUUGAGGGAAAUUUUCAAUUUCUUGAUAUUAUAAAACACAUUUUGACCUCUAGGAAAGUAUUCCUACAAUUUACAUCAG
ensembl:misc_RNA